AACGAACGCUGGCGGCGUGCCUAACACAUGCAAGUCGUGCGAGAAAGUUCCUUCGGGAGCGAGUAAAGCGGCGCACGGGUGAGUAACACGUAGGUAACCUGCCCCCCAGUCUGGAACAACUAGAGGAAACUCUAGCUAAUGCCGGAUAAGACCACGGCCCCCUCGGGGCUGCGGCCAAAGAUGGCCUCUACUUGUACGCUAUCGCUGAGGGAUGGGCCUGCGGGCCAUUAGCUUGUUGGUGAGGUAACGGCUCACCAAGGCUGUGAUGGCUAGCUGGUCUGAGAGGAUGACCAGCCACACUGGGACUGAGACACGGCCCAGACUCCUACGGGAGGCAGCAGUGGGGAAUAUUGCGCAAUGGGCGAAAGCCUGACGCAGCGACGCCGCGUGGGUGAUGAAGGCC
rnacentral:rRNA from 1 species